UACGUAGGGUGCAAGCGUUGUCCGGAAUUAUUGGGCGUAAAGAGCUUGUAGGCGGUUUGUCGCGUCUGCUGUGAAAUUUCGGGGCUCAACCCCGAACUUGCAGUGGGUACGGGCAGACUAGAGUGUGGUAGGGGGAGACUGGAAUUCCUGGUGUAGCGGUGAAAUGCGCAGAUAUCAGGAGGAACACCGAUGGCGAAGGCAGGUCUCUGGGCCCACUACUGACGCUGAGAAGCGAAAGCAUGGGGAGCGAACAGG
rnacentral:rRNA from 1 species